rnacentral:rRNA from 1 species
AUUGAACGCUGGCGGCAGGCCUAACACAUGCAAGUCGAACGAGUGGCGGACGGGUGAGUAAUGUCUGGGAAACUGCCUGAUGGAGGGGGAUAACUACUGGAAACGGUAGCUAAUACCGCAUACCAUCGGAUGUGCCCAGAUGGGAUUAGCUAGUAGGUGGGGUAAUGGCUCACCUAGGCGACGAUCCCUAGCUGGUCUAAGAGGAUGACCAGCCAGACUGGAACUGAGGCACGGUCCAGACUCCUACGUGAGGCAGCAGUGGGGAAUAUUGCACAAUGGGCGCAAACCUGAUGCAGCCAUGCGGCGUGUGUGAAGAAGGCCUUCGGGUUGUAAAGCACUUUCAGCGGGGAGGCGUUACCCGCAGAAGAAGCACCGGCUAACUCCGUGCCAGCCGCCGCGGUAAUAC